UACGGACAACCGAAAGCAGCAGCAGCGCCGACAGUAGUGCGGAGAACACCUUUAAAUGGAGCAGACAGAGGAGUGGAUAAAAUGACCACCUCAUCAUCGGGGCCAAAGAUACUGCUGCAGGCGGAUGGAGGGAAGAGUUGAGGCAGAAUUCCAUCUACAUGUUGCAUUUCUAUGAAUGCAAAGAUCCUUGGACAGGGCAGCGGGUCAGUGGGAAUCCUACUGCUGCCACCUGGCCCUGGUUUGUCCUCAUGGAUGAGGUAUUAGGACGGAGGCUCUCUAUUACCCCACCUGUCCUAAUUGCCUCCAUCCCUGAGGACACACCAGGGCCAGGUGCUGCAGAGGCUGGGCAGCAUCGGGGUGAAGAUGAGGAAGAGAAUGAGGAUGAGAGAGGAGGGAAAGGAGGAAGAGAAGAAGGAGUGACGAGUUGGUGGAUUUAAUCAGGGAGGAGAUCAGAUGGCAGAGGGAGGCGGGAAAGGAUGGACGGAUUAUUUCAUUUAUUGGAGAGGAUGGUGGACAGAUGUUAUUAUUUUUUUGGUGUUUUUUUUAACAAGUUGAAGUUCUGUGUUGCUGUUAUGGUUAAAUUAAAUUAUUAAAUUGUUUAUAAAA